CAUUUUCGUUCGGCCCAGCCAUCAUCACAGAGCAGGAAUCCUUGGCAUUUCAUCCAAUUUUCAAACUAAACUUUCUGAAUAAAAAUGGCUGUGCACUGACAGUGAUAUUACAGUUAAUGUAGGUGGAAAAGAAGUGUGAGGAAAUGUCACGACCUAACUUCUACAACAAAAAUGCACGGUGCAGUUUUUGGUUAAAACUGAAUGUCAUGCUGAGCAUGAUCAGAAUUGGCUGUUGAAUAAAAUUGGUUAUUUUAAUUUCAAUGGAAAGAUGAAACCUGCUUUGAAGGAAGUGUCAAGCUUUUGUUACUCACAGCAUGAAAAGAGUGUUGUGUGCUUGAGGGUGACACGGGAGUGGAUUUUCAAUUUUUUUGGCCGAAAUCUAUCACAGCAUGCCCACUUUAGUUAAAUAAAAAUCCAAAAUGUAGUUUUUUUGUUAUUUUAUUGAACUGAAAGCCAUCUUCAACAAUGCACAUUGUGCAUUGCACACACUUAAAAUAAAUCAUCCAUGCUAACACACGUUUUCUAUUUAAUUUUUUUUUUUUCAUUUGAAAGUAGACAUUUCACUCUCUAUAGAUUUAUUUUUCAUACACAGAGUUUCAAAGUUUCUCGCUCAAGUUCACAUGACCGAGACGGCAUCUUGUUUGCUUUAAUUAUUUUACAGAAGUGCAACGUUUCGUUGUUAUUCUGAAUGCACACAAAUAAAUGUAGAGUCUUUACAGAUUCGAAAGAUUUAUUACUUUUAUCUGUAUGACCAAAAAUUAUGGAGUAUUUUUUAAGAGCAAGUGAGAGCACCGGUGCCUCCAUCUGUCCUGCUGUGAGCGCGCUGCUGUUCAGUUUCCACACACACUUCAAUAGCGCACAUUUCUGUAGGUUAACAUUAGAUUGAGUGGCCAUGCAAUUUGUUACUACAUACAUCUACAUGAAAAGCUAUAUUUGAAGUUGAUGAAUGAUGGGUGGGCUUUUGGAUGUCCUGCCCGAUGUAGGCUAUUGUAUUACCACAUAGACCAGCCAUUAACAAUCUGUCCAUCACGCGAACGUUAUUUACUUAACCAGCCACACCAAAGCAAACAGGAGGAGAGCAUAAAGAGACAGGGCAAUUAGAAUUGAGUUCAAAAUUAAAAUAUAGGCCUACAGUUUAUAAUUUAUUUAUUUAAAUGUAGGCUAUAUUUGUGUAUGAAGUUGGGGAUCAAAGUGUUAUUACGAUUCCCGGUCCCAUCGUGAUUAAUAGUGAUUUUGUUCCGUGACACCCGGGAGAAAAAUGUCAGCCUCUGUUGUGUGCUGAAAAGAGCUAGCUUUAGGUCUGGGCUUUUGGUAUUCAGUGCUUUUACAGUAUGAAGUUUAAAGCAUCUAUUUUUUUUUUCUUUUGAAGGCAGCAGACAUGUUUCUGUAAGGAUGCUUAGAAAGACUCAUCUUUCUGUCUUACUCUAUCACAUGGUGUUUUUCAUUGUUUCUGACAGUUGCUCUUAGUGUACUAUCAUUCUGAACAGGUGUCACUCUUCAUUAUUCAUUUUGUGUUAAGUCUAGUUUUUCUAGCUAAUUGGUUUCCAAUAAAGUUGAACUAGAAUCAUUGCUUUCUUUUUUGUUUUAUAAUAUGAUGAUCCUACAUCAGCAACAGACUUGCAUGCAACAUUUGAUGCCUGUCGCCUUUCUUUGAUGAUAAGUCUUAUCCUGUUUACCUUGUGCAUAAAGCCCUUGUGCUUUGAAUGAAACGAGUUGCCCAGUUUCCUAGAGGAAAAAAAAAAAGUCUGAACAAAUCAACAUCAGAAUAUUUUCUAGUAAAUAUGAGGAGUGAGAUAAUUAUAAUUGAAAAACUAAUUGGAAUUUUAAUUAAUGUCUUCUGAAGUGAAACUCUUGAAGGCACAAAGCUUAUCGGACAGAAGAAAUAUUGAAUUCUCCAUCUAUGGAAAACGCAUCACUCUGCCCAUGCAAACAAAUGCUUCGAUUGUAAAGAAAAUAACUAAGAUGAAACCAAAGGAAAUAGGCAUGUGCACAGAGCAAUAAUCACAGGAAUUUCACUUAAAAAAUGAUUACCAAUUUUCAAAUUUUCAUCAAAAUUGCACUCAGCAUUGAGUUGUCAGUUAUGCUGAUUGGCUUUAUUGACCGAAUCACAUGAUCUGUAUCAAUACCAAAGACCUUAAGUGAACACUACGCUAACAUCAUUGCUCAGUCUUCAGAGCAGUAGUGAAUUAAACCAAGCCGUAGACAAUUUGCAAUGCACACUGGACCACUUCAAGAGGAAAGGUAAAGUAAA
ensembl:lncRNA